UAAGUUUGUCACGAUGUUUGUAACACCCAGAAGGAAGCGUCGGAGACCCUAUAAAGUAUAUAUAUAAAUGAUCAGUAUGUUGAGCUGAGUCGAUUUAGCCAUGUCCGUCUGUCUGUCCGUCCGUCUGUCUGUCUGUAUAUAUACGAACUAGUCCCUCAGUUUUUAAGAUAUCCUUUUGAAAUUUUGCAAACGUCAUUUUUUCUUCAAGAAGCUGCUCAUUUGUCGGAACGGCCGAUAUCGGACCACUAUAACAUAUAGCUGCCAUAUAAACUGAACGAUCGGAAUCAAGUUCUUGUAUGGAAAACUUUGACAUUUGACAAUAUAUAUUCACGAAAUUUGGUAUAGAUUAUUUUUUAAGGCAACAAUGUAAUUUCCGAAGAAAUUGUUCAGAUCGAAUUACUAUAGCAUAUAGCUGCCAUACAAACUGAACAGAUAGUUACUAACAGAAAUGCACCUGUGAAGGGUAUUUA